ACGUAGGGGGCAAGCGUUGUUCGGAAUUACUGGGCGUAAAGGGCAUGUAGGCGGUUUAGUAAGCUUGGCGUGAAAGACCACAGCUCAACUGUGGGGUUGCGUUGAGAACUGCUGAACUUGAGUUACGGAGAGGGAGCUAGAAUUCCUGGUGUAGGGGGGGAAUGUGUAGAGAUCAGGAAGAGGUGCGAUGGUGUAGGGAUAAAACAGGACGAUAACUGUGGCUAAGGUGCGUAAGUGUCUGGAUGAAGCAG
rnacentral:rRNA from 1 species